rnacentral:rRNA from 1 species
CCCUGCCAUUUGUACACACCGCCCGUCGCUCCUACCGAUUGAAUGAUCUGGUGAAGUGUUCAGAUUGCGUCGACGAUGGCGGUUCGCUGCCGUCGACGUUGUGAGAAGUUCAUUGAACCUUAUCAUUUAGAGGAAGGAGAAGUCGUAACA